GGAGAAUGAUCUGUUUCAAGCAGCACUACCAUGCAAGGGGUGCUCACAGCCUGUUUGCUCCAAGUAUGCUUUUUGAAAUACUUAUUCCAGAUCAGUCCCUGCUUUGAUCAUUUUUACAGAAACACCCUUUUGCUUUAUAUCAACAUUGGAAAUUGACAGCCUUGGCCUUCAUUUCCUGGUAUGAGUCUCCCAACACCAGACAUCAUCAUGGCAACACCCCUUAAUCUUAAUGCUCCUGGGACUGUGACUAAUGAAACAGAGAAGAGUAAUAGAUUUUUAGGCCAAAUAAAUUACUAAGGUUGCCUACCCUGACCUCCUCUGCAUGCCACAGAAGCAAGCAGAGAGUGAGUCCAGCACAAGAAGGUCUCUUUAGAAAGGAAACGUGAGCAGUGAGCCUCCCGAGGGAGCUGCUCCAGUGGCGGGCCAUGGAAGAAGCACUGGCAGCGCUCCCUGCCCUCCAGCAGAGCUUGGUGGGCAGGAGGAGGGAGUGGCUGCAAUGAGCAACAGCAAAGCAGGAGCAUAGCUGGAUGACACACACACUCUGGUGAAGAUCAGGUCGGUUUGGAUGCUGUUGUUUUCAGAGGCUGAGGCUCCAGGGGACAGACGUCUUUCAAAUGGAACAUCCAUGUCAGAAGUCCACCGCAGGAUCUGUGAGAAAACAAAGAACGAACUUUCUCAUUGACAACAGAAACAAAUCUGGAGGAGUCAAAUUCCCCAUGAAAAGAAAUUCUGUUCUCCAACCAGAUCUCCUCAGCUAAGAGAUCAGAACAAAGAUAAUGACCCUGAAGCCUUUGUUCCCUCAUGUUUACAUAAACUAGGAGAAGUGGACAGAGGAGCCUUUGCACCAUCUUUCAACUUCCCACCUACCUGUGAGUUUGGUUUAGCAAAAGUUUGCACCUGCAGGUUUUUCUAAUUCUUGCAUGUUGGUAAAAGAGAAGAAAGCAAACUGUUUUUGAAUGAAGCUCUUAUAUGGGAGAACUUUGGAAGAGUAGAACAUAAUCAUCGUAAUUAUGAGUCAAUCAAGAAGCUGAAAAAAGCAAUCCAUCUCCUGAGAGAAGUCCAGCAGUGAAAAUUUUCUCUAGCAUUGUAAGAGGCCUCCAGUUCCAGGCUAACCCAGGAAGACAAGAGUCAAGAUGUGAAUAUAUGACACUGUUUCCUACCACACAUGGUUUUUGAGAUUUUCAAUACCUGUACUGAGCAGGCACAAGACUGCCUAUACAACAGAAAGAAAAAGCUGAGUGACUUGGCGGCAGACAAAUCUAACAAGUCUCAAGAUUCUGGACAGCUUCAGAAACCAUAAUCAAAGAACACAAAUCACUGAGACAAAAAGUGCAAAGUAUUUACUCUGAUGCAGUGAUAAGAACACUCAGAUUCUGCAGCAAGUCGCCUUCUACAAUAUCCAUUAAAAUGAACAGCACUGAAGUAUUUAUUUUAGAAAUUAAAAAGCACCCUGGUGAAUUAUUCAUCUCUUUCUCUGACUUUAGAGGAGACAGCAUGGUACAGCACAGCUUGUUGUAAUACACAACAGCAUUUUGAUCUGCAGAUUUAAAGAAUUUCAGAUUGCUUAGAGAUACAUGAGGCUCCGUGGUGGUAUGUAACAUAAUUUCUCACACAGUCUAACCACUGGAACAACUCUUGCCUUAGAGGAGGUAAGUGGUAAUGUGAAACAUGUUGUUUCCUAUUGUGAAGUUUUAAAGAAAUACAUUAUAUGCAAGUAAUUAGACUUUUUCCUUCAUUAAUAUUCUAGUUAAAUAUAUGCUACUAACAGGCAGCUCUGGGACAGUUUAGUCAGCCUGGCUGAUACAUAAUAAAAAACAAGGGCCUUUGCUAAAUCGUGUAUUG
ensembl:lncRNA